ensembl:lncRNA
GCUGUUUCGAGCCUUACCCUGUAUGGCGUCUCUCUGGUGCCUCUGCAUCUCAAGCUCGGCCAUUUGGCUAAGCAGGGCCAUGCCCGCAGCAGCAGCAGACUCCAAAAGACUGAUUCCUGGGCAAUGCAUCAUCUCGGUAGGGGUCAUUUCAGCCAUGGUGGUAAGGACUCCAGAUUGGGGCAGCUCACUCGCUGUUAGCAGUGCCAGCAUGCCUGCCAUGGGGUCCUCAGUUUGGAUGGCUGCUGGCGCAGGGCCAGGCAGGAGCACAGGAGGAGUGGGGCAUGGAAGCGGUAUAUCACUGUGUGUCGAUUCCAGGUCUGGAGUGUCAUGGGUGGGUUCUUUGGGCUUGGGUGCAGAAAUGAGCCUCUCUGUGUGAACUGAAGGCGAGUCUGUGGGACGAAUGCUGCAGUCUAUGGGUUGCAUGUCGGUGUAAUUGGAGGAGGACGUGAAGGCCGACUCUGGCAAGUUGAGAGAGCUCUUUGAAACCUCUGCUGCCGGGCUCACAUCCAAGUCUGAUCCUGAUCUUUGGUACAACUUUUGUGGAGUAGAUGAGAAUAGAUCUGCCUUGUCAUCUUCUUUGCUCUCCUCAGGCAGUGGUGAGGCUGCAGCUCUUGAGCAGGCCUCUGCUUCAACAGGAGUACAUGAGUCCUGACUGGAAAUUGAAGCAACAGAGUGGAUAGACUGUGUGAUACAAUCCUGACCCAAAACAUCCUUGCUGUUCUCCAGUCCUGGCUCCUCUUUAAAUGGCACCACACUCUCUUCUACUCGCUUGGGCUCUCUGGAUGCCUGCAGAGCUUCUGCCACCACUGGUGAACACAUGUGACUGGGUUUUACACUGGCCGGGCUGGCUAAGCGCUUCGAGCCCUCGGCCUGCAGCGGCACAGCUGGAGCCAGGCCUUCUGCAUCAGCAGCUGUGGCAGGCUGAAGAAGGUAGGGGUAAUGGCUGCCGAAAGAUGCUGUUAUUGAUUGGUAGGGGUAGCCUGGAGGAAUUUCUGCCAAAACAAAACAAAAAGGAGAGAGCAGUCUGAGAGACUUAAAGUGCUUAUGCAAGGAGCAGAGGGCCUUGGUUCUCCAUGACAGAGUGACAAAAUGAUUAAUCAUCCCACAUGCUCUUCCAGCUUUAUGAAACUUUCAUGAGCCAAAUGGUCCCAGUACAAGCAUUCCAAACGCCCUUAUGUAUACGCCCCCACCCCCAAGGUCUAAUACAUGCACGCAUGCUCAUACGUUCACACUGCAGAGAUUGCA